rnacentral:rRNA from 1 species
ACGAACGCUGGCGGCGCGCUUAACACAUGCAAGUCGAGCGGUAAGGCUCCUUCGGGAGUACACGAGCGGCGAACGGGUGAGUAACACGUGAGUAAUCUGCCCUUCACUUCGGGAUAACCACCGGAAACGGUGGCUAAUACCGAAUACGACCAGUCUUCGCAUGAGGUGCUGGUGGAAAGUCUUUUCGGUGAAGGAUGUGCUCGCGGCCUAUCAGCUUGUUGGUGGGGUAAUGGCCUACCAAGGCUUCGACGGGUAGCCGGCCUGAGAGGGUGACCGGCCACACUGGGACUGAGACACGGGCCAGACGCCUACGGGAGGCAGCAGUGGGGAAUAUUGGACAAUGGGCGAAAGCCUGAUCCAGCAACGCCGCGUGAGGGAUGACGGCCUUCGGGUUGUAAACCUCUUUCAGUACCGACGAAGCGCCCUGUCGGGUGGUGACGGUAGGUACAGAAGAAGGACCGGCCAACUACGUG